rnacentral:misc_RNA from 1 species
GUGCCAGCAGCCGCGGUAAUACGGAGGGCGCGAGCGUUACCCGGAUUCACUGGGCGUAAA